rnacentral:ncRNA from 1 species
UGCAUGGGGUGCUAAAUUUUGCUGAGAUAGGAUAAUUUAUAUCCUAGACCCACUAACCUGAUAUGGAUAAUGCCAGCGUAGGAAUUGCCU